UCCGUAGGUGAACCUGCGGAAGGAUCAUUAAUGAUUGCGAAUCGUUGCCUUUAGUGCUGGCCGGCUUCGGCUUUGGCAAGUGCACGUCGGUGACUUUCAUCCAAUACCCUGUGAACCUUUGGCCUCUUGCUAGCUUCGGCUGGCAGAGGAUUUUACACAAACUCGAAUGUAAUGAAAUUUAUUGUCGUGCGCAAGCACUAAUGUACAACUUUCAACAACGGAUCUCUUGGCUCUCGCAUCGAUGAAGAACGCAGCGAAAUGCGAUAAGUAAUGUGAAUUGCAGAAUUCAGUGAAUCAUCGAAUCUUUGAACGCACCUUGCACCCUUUGGCAUUCCGAAGGGUAUGCUCGUUUGAGUGUCAUUGUACUCUCACACUCCCACUCUUUUGGAUUGGGAGCGGUGGACUUGGGUGUUGCUGCUUUACUGUGGCUCGCCUCAAAUGGAGUAGUGCAACUGUCGGUUGGACAUAGUACGGCGUGAUAAGUAUCUUCGCCGGCGCCUCACUAGAGGGUGGCCGAUCGGGAGCUCUGUGCUUCAAACCGUCUUCGGACAAUCUUUGACAACUUGACCUCAAAUCGAGUAGGACUACCCGCUGAACUUAAGCAUAUCAAUAAGCGGAGGA
rnacentral:rRNA from 1 species